GGCCAGUAGGGCUCGUGCUUUGGCAUUGCUCUCCUGCAGGCUCGUGCUUGGCAUUGCUCUCCUGCAUACACUUGCUGACAUUGAUCGGGUUUGUAGUUUAUGCUCCGGAGCGUCUGUGCUCCGCAUAUGUUUUCUGACGGAAGUAAAAAGUAAAUAAACCCGUUGAUUGCAAGCACGUCGUUACCAGGCGCGUCGUGCGUUGUUUUUUUUCCUUUGAUAAGUUUUAGGACUAAUUUCAGUUUAUCCCUGUUAACUUUAUGUCAAUCAUCAUGUUAGUCCCUCUUUUUUCAAUUUCAUCAAAAACACCCCUAAACUUUCAAUUUUCAUCAGCCGUGCCCACAGUUCCGAUCUCCGUCAAAUUAUUCAGUUAAGUGAUGACGCGGCAUCAGGCAAAAAGCCAAAUUCCCAAAAUAACCUUUCACUGUUUUCCCUCCAUUAACACACAUCUCGAAAAAUAAGUUCACACUAAUCUAAUACACAUCCCAAAAACGCAACCCCAUUCUCCCAUCACAACCGUACCCUAGUUAAUUUAGCAGCUCUCUAUCUCCACCGAAACCCCAUAUUAACUCUUUGCCUCCCAAAAACCCCCAAAUCUGGUUUUGAUAUAAAACCCAGAUUACACACCUACCCCAUCCUUAAACACCCAAAUUACAGCGCCCACAAUGGCUGGGAAUGAGAUUGAGGUGUGGAUACCACGAGCGGAAGGUGCUCCAGAUGAAAUUCCUCCUUACAGUGAGUUUAUGGUUCCUUGAAACUAAUGGUUUAGUGGAUUUACGGGAUCGACGAAAAGUNNNNNNNNNNNNNNNNNNNNGUUUUUAGUUAUGGUUUGAUGUAUUUCUAUAGGAAAAAAGGGAUCAGGAGAAGGUUGUAGCAAAGACUGUUGCGAAAGCAACCACAAAGUCAUCGACUGCCUCAACAACUACACAAGUUGCUUCAGCUAAGAACAAGGGAGCUGCUUCUACAAAGUCUUCGACACCUACAAGGUCAUCAAAGAGGAUUAGAGGUGGAGACAAGCAGGUUGGAAAAUAGACUUAGUAAGAUAUUAGAUUAGCAAGCCCGAUUAUCAUCUCUUGAUGCAUUAUUUUGUGCAACCUUGUGGUAGUCACAAUGGUUGCUAGCUCUAAUUUUUUGUUAGAAUGAUUAGAGCUAGUAUGAACUAUGAACUAUGAACUCCAAUUAUAUCCAACUUUUUUGUUUGUUGUUUGGAUGUAAACUCUUAAAUGCAUCAGUUGGCUGCUAAUUUAUAAGACAAUGUAAUCUAGUUUUUUUUUUUCUAUAUGAAGGACCUAUUUCUGUGUGAUUUAUACUCUCUUUUUUGUUGUUAAAAAGAGCAAUGUUUUCUUCGAUUGUUGUUUAUUAGCAACGUUGAGAUCCGUAGUUUAAUUGAUUUUUACAUGUCCACCCAGAAUAUAUGAUAGUGUGUGGUUUUGGAGGGAAAAUAGUGUUAUUAUUUGGUUGAAUUUAAUUUUGGUGGGAAUAAAUGUAAUAUGUCUGUUUUACCCUUUCUUUUGGACCCCGGAUCCAGAAUUUGGUUUUUUGCCUAUUGCCAUGUCAUCACUUAACUGAGUAAUUUGACGGAGAUCGAAACUGUGGGCACGGCUGAUGAAAAUUGAAAGUUUAGGAGUGUUUUUGAUGAAAUUGAAAAAAGAGGGACUAACAUGAUGAUUGACAUAAAGUUAAUAGGGGUAAACUGAAAUUAGUCCUAAGUUUUAUUCCUCAGAUCUGGGGACUUGGUUAGUGCAAAACACAGUUUGGGUAUGGGUAUCUCUCCACCAUCUGUCAUCGUUCUUCGUUUUCUGGGUUGGAUCCGGCAUUAGGCGGCGGCGUGUUGAGAUCAUCUAUAACUGGAUCGAUCUCCCAUUCGAGCGUAAAUCGAAGCGGUCUUCUUCAGAUCUCAUUCUCCCAUCUGAGACUUAUGGGCACCGGCGUACUCAUCUUGUUGGUCACCGAUCUGGUAUCGUCAUCGCUGCUCUCUUUUGUAGUGAUAUAUGAAUUGCUCUUAGAAAUUUUGGAAGUAUGAGAAAUUACGAGAGGCAGUGGGAGUAGGAAUAGGUGAUGGUAAAUGAGUGAUGGUUCAUUCAAUUUUGAAGAACCACAUAUCGGUUCUGGGAUUUGUUCCAUUUGGAACAGGAAUUGUGGUCAUGUUUCUUAGUUAUAGAUGGGCGAUUUUUCCAGUGUUGAUCUGCUUGAUUGUUUUACUUGAUGUAGAGGGGAAAUGAAAUUUGGGGGUUUUUGUUUUUCUUUCUUUUCGAUGCAUUUUGUUAUAUGUUUGAUGUGGGAUUGCUUCUUUGUCUAUUCAAUGUUAAGUUGUUCUUUAGGUCUACACUGGUGAAGAUCUUAUGUAAUUAAGCUGUAUUUGAUUUUUGUUUGUUUCCCGCUUAAAAGAGAGGUAGCUGAGAUUAUCAUAUCAAAUGGAGAUAGAAGCGUAUUUUAGCUGCUAAUUUGAUGGUUAUGAGAUAUGGUACUUUUGAUUUUUUUAAUUUCAAUUGUUUUUAUUAGGGAUCUGUGGUGUCUCAGAAUUGUUUGUCAUCUAUGUUAGACUAAGGUAUGCUAAUUUGCUCACCAAUGCACUAUUUUCUUUAAUCUGAAUUUACAAAUGCCAUUGCUGAUUCUUUUUUACUUCUUUGGUUUGUAUAUAACUUGUGCAGAGAAAGGAGAAUCUCCAUUCAGAGAUAGGGAAAGUCUUAUCGGUUCUCUCAUAUAGUUUUGACUGGUAUGCAACUCAAUCUCAUUGAUCGUUAUGUUUGGUAUUACACUCCAUAGCUUGAUAUGAUCUCCAUAGAUAAUACAGUUCAUGUUAGUUUUUGUAGGCCACUAUCUUCGGUAUUAGCUGCAUUAUUUGAAUAGAAUCUUAUCAAAUUCUUUGUUGUUCGGUUGUGUUCCUAAAUCCUAACCCACCAGUACAUAUAUAACAUUGUUGCUGAACCAAAACUGAAAUCUGAAGAUUUCAGGAACUCUUAAAAUUAUGGCCACAGUCUAGUUUCAUUGUUAUUAUCUUGUUCCCUUCUAGCAAAGCUUGUGCAGCGUGUUAAGUUCCUGCUUCUUAUUCUCUUCCCAUCUUUCCAAUGAUCCUAUCAUCAAGUUUUAUCUCAGAAAUUAUUCCUUGAAUUCACAUGAUUAUUGGUCAUUGCCUUAUUAAACGUUAAAAACACUCCAACUGGUAGUAUUUCUUAAAACAAAUCCUAUUGUGAACUAGUCUUGCUGCAAAUUACCUUCGAGUUUGAACAGAUAUCCAUGUCCAUUAUCAGUUUACUAAGUAUACACCAGGUACCUUCACAUAUGCCUAUAUUUGGGGAAAGUUUCAAAUACUAAAAAGAAAACAGAUUGGUCCCUGUUUUUUCUUACUAAGCUUAGGUUGCUACGAUGAGCAAAUCACAUAUGUAUAUUUGCAUUGUUUGUUCAGUUGUUAAAUGAAGUUCUGAUUUCCUCAUCAAGUCUGGGGUCAAAACUGAAUUUAAUCAAUUNNNNNNNNNNNNNNNNNNNNCUUCACAUAUGCCUAUAUUUGGGGAAAGUUUCAAAUACUAAAAGAAAACAGAUUGGUCCCUGUUUUUUCUUACUAAGCUUAGGUUGCUACGAUGAGCAAAUCACAUAUGUAUAUUUGCAUUGUUUGUUCAGUUGUUAAAUGAAGUUCUGAUUUCCUCAUCAAGUCUGGGGUCAAAACUGAAUUUAAUCAAUUGUUUUUUUUUUUUUAUAGAAAACAGAGAUCCAUUCUUUUGCAAUACCUUACUUCUGAUUUUGUGUUUGUCUCGUACUGUACCCCUUUUGAGAUUUCCAGACCUAUAUGUAUACCCCUGUGUUCUCCUGUUAAGUUUCAUGUUUACUAUCAGUUUGGUGGUUCUUAACUUCUCAUGCUUACAUGUUUCCUCAUUAAAGUAUAUCUAAGCCAAAGCUAUGUUGCCUGCUGCUUUAAAGUCUCAAGCUCGAGUGUUUCUAUCAUUUUGAUUUUCAUAAAGCAUGAGUUGUUAAAGUUGUGUUUCUUGACAAACACAAAAAGAGAUUUACCUUUCAAGGUUUACUUCAUGGCAGAACUUCUAUAUAAGAAAGAGUAUUUCAGUCUCUUGAAAUCCCUUAAUGAUUGUUUUGGCUUAAAGAAGCCAAAAGGUUUACAGAAAGGACAUGUUUGGUUUUGAACGGUAUUAUUUGAUUAGGCCCGGGAUAAGUUACGUAGGGAUUGUGCCUCCCUAGGGUGAAGAGACCAACAGUUUUGUAAUGAUCAGGAUUCCGCUUAGUACGGGGUGUCCUCGUUGGCUAUAAUAUGAGGGUUUUCCGCUUGUACGGGGUGUGCUCGUUGGCCUUAAUACGAGCAAUGGGCUCUGACCGGAAAAGGAAGGAUUUCAAGGAUUUCGUUGGAAAAGAAGAAUAAGGGUUUCUGAACGUUGAACAAAGUGUUUGAAAGAAAAAUAAAACUCUGGUCUUAUUGCUAUUAUCGGAUUUGUGUUGGGUUUAUUUUUCUAAUGUCAAAGAGUGUGACUCAAAAGUGUUGGUCUCAGUUCGUUGUUCCUUUUACAUGUUCAGUUGUUUAUUUAAGUGUCCCAAGCUGAAUGUCGUCUUUGUUGAAAACUGAGUAACCUUAUAUCAAUUGAGUCAUUGAUUCCAUUCUCAUAAUUCUCAACAGCAACCUUCAUAAUUUAAUUCCAUUUCAUUCCGUUUACUACUGAUAUUCUUUCACACUACUCUAAUUGCAUUCUAAAUUUGAAUCAUAGUACUAUUGAUUAUCUUCUGUAGCUACUGAGCUUGUGAAGCUCACUUCCCUAUGUUUCAUUUGUUCUCAGGAAAGAAGUGUGGUGAUGUUUCUGAUAUUCCAGAGUUGACUUAAAUCAGAGUUCAUUACCCAGUUAUGCUUGCUUGUGAACUGAGUGCCUCACUUUUGUUUUAUUAAGUAUGUGCUGCUGUCUUCAUUAGAUUGUGCUCAGUACGUAUUUGUUUGGAAUGGUGGCAUUUUGUUAAUAUAGUGAUAUGAAAUAGAAAGUCCACUCUGAUAUGGGUACAUCUGAUGUAAAUUUUGAUACCAUGUGAUAGACAGCUUUGUAAAUAAAAUGCAAUCAGUUGCAUGUGUAUAUAAAGGAUCGUUUUCUUACUCUCUUUUACCUUGCUGAAUUAUGGCAGUCAAAGUUAGAGGGUGGCUUUCAAUUGAGAUUGGUGUAAAAAAGGAUCAACUGAUGUACUUCCUUUGCCUCCAAACCCGCAUCAAGGAAGAUACAAGAAGAAGAAAGCAAUCACAAAACACAAUCCAUAGCAUUUGCUUGAAUGUUAUAAUUCAUUGCCUAAGAACAUUUUAAUUGUUGUAUUGUCCUGUAGAUUUCGCAUCAAUGUUUACAAUACAAUGUAAUUACAACUCGGGAAGUACAAUAAUAUAUCUAAAAUCUGUGAUCAUAACAACAUUAUUUUCAUUAAUAAUCUCAAAAUAAUUAAAAUACAAGCGUCAUUGAUCAAAUUACACACCUCUGCGUUCUCUUAGCUAGCCAACAUGUUCCCUACCUUGUGUGCUCUUGAUACAUUCCUAAUAAAUUAUUUACUCUCUAAAGUAGAUCUAAAACUCUUGAUGUUGAGACGGUUAGCCACUUAUCAAAAAGUGACUUGAAGGUGACUAAAACUCUUCAAUUUUGAAGUUGAGCUUUUCCACUUAUAUGUCAAUUUAAAUCUUGUUUCUUUAACAUUCAUCUAGUUGUAUCUUGCCUGCAGGUUGUGUAAAGAAGAAUGAACUUAAUAGUAAAAGACUCAAAACUGAGCUACAUAAACCGAAUAACCAGUAAAAUAUCAUACAAUGAAUAUAUCAUUAGAUUACAAUGAAUUGAACAACAAAAAGAGCAAAGCAAUCUAAAGUGGUCCAAAUAAAAGAGCAACCAAAGCUAAAUACCUGAACAAUAUGUCGAGUUAGAGCAUCAACUAGAUUGUAGGUUUUUCUCUUAGCUAGUUGCCAUUGUCCAGCUGUAGUUGAUCAAACAAAACCCUUCAAACAAUAAAGGUCAGUGUGUGUGUGUAUACAGACACACACACACACACAAUCAGUUAUCAACACACAGACACACAUCUAGAAAAAAAAAUAAUAAUAAAAAAUGAAGGUAAGAAAGCACAUUUUGCAUACCCAACAAGCCAUAAAUCAUAACCCUCUAGGCUUAGCUUCCAAACUGAUAAGACUAGAAUAAUUUGUGCUUUUUACUUACAAUUACAUGGUUCUUGUAGUAAACCUUUACAACAGGGUUCCUUAGAGAAAUCAUUGUAUCAUGUCAAGCACUGUCCCUUAUUUCUUGCCCAGUUCACAUGCUGCUUCCAUAGUUCUUCACCAAGGUUUAAUCAAAACAAAAGGUCAAACAAUGAGAAGUUAAAAGACAGAAAAAAGCAGAGCCUGAAAAUAUAACACUCAUAACUGAUUCUACAGGUACUCAAUGUUAAAGG
rnacentral:lncRNA from 1 species